GCCAGGUGUGGUGGCGCAGGCCUGUAAUCCCAGCAGCUUGGGAGGCUGAGGCAGGGGAGUCAUGAGUUCAAAGCCAGCCUCAGCAAAAGCGAGGAGCUAAGCAACCCUGUCUCUA
rnacentral:sRNA from 1 species